GUGGGGAAUUUUGGACAAUGGGCGCAAGCCUGAUCCAGCCAUUCCGCGUGCAGGAUGAAGGCCUUCGGGUUGUAAACUGCUUUUGUACGGAACGAAAAGGUUCUCUCUAAUACAGGGGGCUGAUGACGGUACCGUAAGAAUAAGCACCGGCUAACUACGUGCCAGCAGCCGCGGUAAUACGUAGGGUGCAAGCGUUAAUCGGAAUUACUGGGCGUAAAGCGUGUGCAGGCGGUGAUGUAAGACAGAUGUGAAAUCCCCGGGCUCAACCUGGGAACUGCAUUUGUGACUGCAUUGCUGGAGUGCGGCAGAGGGGGAUGGAAUUCCGCGUGUAGCAGUGAAAUGCGUAGAUAUGCGGAGGAACACCGAUGGCGAAGGCAAUCCCCUGGGCCUGCACUGACGCUCAUGCACGAAAGCGUGGGGAGCAAACAGGAUUAGAAACCCCGGUAGUCC
rnacentral:rRNA from 1 species